CUGGACACUCAUACCUUCUCUCUGUCGCCACCAGCCUUGCUGCUAGUUUAAAACCUGCAGAAGGUGAUUUUCCCUGUGCUAGGGCUGUCGUUUGAAAGGUUUUGCCAGCCUGUUUUUUCAUAAAUCCUGUGGCUUUUCAUCAUGUGGGGGGGUUGAGGUGAGUGGUGAAUUACUUACAGCACAGUUACCUGUUCAUCCAUUUCAUGCUAGAGACCAUCCAAGUCUGGCACUUGGUACUGUGCUGCCCUUUAGUGUCACAGAUAUGUUCUCAAGUCCUGACGCUUUGGUUUGCAAUUGCAGCUUCAUCUCAUCAGUGCCGAGGAAAAUCUCUUGUCUGGCAAUACCCCAAAGCUCCUCUGAUGGCAAAACAUCAACUUUACUUUUCUGUCAUGGCCCUAAGCUUCCCUAAUCACUCCCACACCAUCUUAUGGCUUUUUGGCAGCUGUCUUGCCUCCAAGAUGCAUUGAACGAGGUUUUCAUAUUUUCUAUUUGUCACAGUCUCCUGAAAAAUCUGCCUUUUUUUUUCUUUAGGUUCUUAAGCUUCAUUCUCUAGUAUUUAAUGAGUUUUUCUGUUAUUUUCUUUUAUUUUCAUUUGACUACAGCUUCGCUUUUUGAUGGCUGCCUUUUCAAAUUUUAUGCAGUAAAGUAUAACCUAGCACUACUGUUCCUUCUAGGAACAUUUAAUUGAGAAUAACUCCCUUGAGAAGAUGACACUUCUAUAGCAAGUGUGCAGACAGUACGAUUGCUCAAAGGUAGGCAGCCUGUUUUUGAUGAAAUGCCUGCAUUCUGUGAGUACUGCUGGAGCCCACAAGGGGUAUUUGCAUACCCUGAGUUUAUGUCAUGAACCUGCAUUUUGUGAAUGGCAUUUGUUAUGAAGGAGUUUGGAACAUUAUUGUUUAAGGUGUCUUUUAUCACUGUUCAAUAUAUGCCUUGUGUCAUAGUCUUUCCAUCGGAGAUCUAUAUCUCCUCUUCCUUGCAUUGAUCUUGUCAGUUGCUUUGCUCUAAGACUGAUUUACUUCAGUAAUGGACAGAGUAUAUUUAAAAGGUCCAAGAUCUUUUUUUUACUGUGCUUACGCAUUCGCCAUUUUGUUACAUUUUGUUGUGAUUUUUCAAGUGAGCUUAAUUAGUUUACACAUCUGCUCAAGCUGAUUUUCACUACAUGGCAUCUUCCUUAAUGCUGAGGUUUCAUGCUGACAUCUCAAGAAGGUGGUCUGAGGACAACUAGCCCUUUCUUGGGGAAGUAAUGCAUGUGUGGUAGUCUGUGCAAAUGCUAAUGAAGUAUAAAAUAAUUUCUCUAAAUGUUCAAAGUUGCCAUAAAACUAAAUUUUCCCGUAACACCACUGCUAAUUACCAUUAGCUGUCCUAAAACUGAAAAUAAAAGUUACAGCUUACCACCCCUAGAAAUGGUUGGCUGCCCAUCAGAGAGCUUUCUGUCAGCACAGCCCUGCAAAGGAGUGAACCUGGAUCCCAGGUCCAUCCCUCUCCCAUGAUGGCCCAGCACAGUGCCUAGCCUGUUCAGGAAGGCAGUCAAGCCUUCAGCCAGGAUCUGUGUCCUUCUAUGCCUUCCCCUUGCAAGGUGCUCACAAAUCAGGAUAGAUUAUGGCUUAUCACAGCUGCUUUCAGAGUUGGUUUGUCCCAGCAAAGUGGUGUGAUCACUUUUCACUCCUUUGCUGAACAAGAGCCUCCUUAUGUUUGCCUGAGCACCUGCCUUACUACACCAAGCAUUUCUAUCAGUUCUCCUUAGAAAGGCUGUAAGAACAAACUUAGAGCUCCCCUACUUUGGAAAAAACUCUUCUCCAGAGACAGAAGCAGCUGCCACAGCAGAUCUCCCACCUUUAUCCCAAUGCCACUCACAGUAAUAUGUCAGUUUUUCAGAUUGACUAAAAAAAAAAAAAAAAAAAAAUUUAGUUUUUUUAGGUCAGGGUUGCAGUUCUCAGACAGGCUGGCCACUGAGCCAGUUUUUCCAUCUGCCCGGAGGGGCCUUGCUGUGGUGCCAGCUGUAGGCACAGUGUCUGGAUGCAAAAUGAGGAUUCAGGAGAAGUGCUGUGCUUUUCAGGGAGGUUAUAUGAGAGAGGAAACCAAGCCCUCCAGGCAGUCCAAAAGCUGCACGACUUGUUUGCCACACUCGUUCUCCCUGUUUCCAUACAAGACCAACCGUGUUUUAAAGACUGUGAUCCCUGGCUUGCGCCUUGCCUGAAUACUUUUAUCGUUUUUCUAGGAAUUUCAAGCAAGAUUGUAAACUAGUUGAAAUAGUAUUUUGAAACACAGUGAACCUUUA